rnacentral:rRNA from 1 species
AUACCCUAUUAUUUUUAUCGUGAAAUUUUAAGCUUAAGUAUUAAUAGUUAUGAUCUUUAAACUUAAAGAAUUUGGCGGUAUUAUAGUCUAUUUAGAGGAAUCUGUUAUGUAAUCGAUAGUCCACGUUGAACCUUACUUAUAUUAAUUCUUGUAUACCGCUGUUUAAGAAUAUACUUAUAGGUUAUUUUCUAGAUAUAUAAUUAAUUAAUAUUUCAAGUCAAGGUGCAGUAAUAUAUAAGUUGAAUAAUGGAUUACAAUAAAUUUUAUUUAAUAUGGAUUUAUAUUGAAAUAUAUUUUGAAGGUGGAUUUAAUUGUAAUUUUUUAUAGAUUAUUAAAAUGAUUUAUAGCUCUAUAAUAUGUACACAUCGCCC